rnacentral:rRNA from 1 species
CCCUUAGAUGUUCUGGGCUGCACGCGCGCUACACUGACGCACGCAACAGGUGCCUGCUCCGAGAGGACUGGGUAAUCAUUUGAGUGUGCGUCGUGAUGGGGAUAGAAUAUUGUAAUUAUUACUCUUCAACGAGGAAUUCCUAGUAAGCGCCAGUCAGCAGCUUGCGCUGAUUACGUCCCUGCCCUUUGUACACACCGCCCGUCGCUCCUACCGAUGGGUGAUCCGGUGAAUGAUUCAGACUUCAGCGGCUCCCCUGGGGUGCGCCGGAGAAAGUUUUGUGAACCUUAUCACUUGGAGGAAGGAGAAGUCGUAACA